GGGCCCAUAGCACAGCUGGUAGUGCGCCUCGUUUGCAACGAGGAGGUCAGGAGUUCGAAUCUCCUUGGGUCCA
rfam:Candidatus Levybacteria bacterium RIFCSPHIGHO2_01_FTLL_40_10 rifcsphigho2_01_scaffold_53360, whole genome shotgun sequence.